rnacentral:rRNA from 1 species
AGAGGUCUCAAGCGUUGUUCGGAAUUACUGGGCGUAAAGGGUGCGCAGGCCGCGCGGGCAGUCAAAUGUGUAAUCCAGGGGCUCCACCCCCUGAACUGCGCUUGAUACUUCCGCGCUCGAGCUUUGGAGAGGAGUCUGGAAUUCUCGGUGUAGCAGUGAAAUGCAUGGAUAUCGAGAAGAACACUUAGGGCGUAGGCAAGACUCUGGACAAAUGCUGACGCUCAUGCACGAAGGCUAGGGUAGCGAACGGGAUUAGAUACCCCGGUAGUCCAGCUGUAAACGGUGCACGUUUGGUGUGGGAGGCAACCCCUUCCGUGCCGAAGCUAACGCGAUAAACGUGCCGCCUGGGUAGUACGGUCGCAAGACUA